rnacentral:rRNA from 1 species
ACUCCUGCGGGAGGCAGCAGUGGGGAAUAUUGCACAAUGGGCGCAAGCCUGAUGCAGCCAUGCCGCGUGUAUGAAGAAGGCCUUCGGGUUGUAAAGUACUUUCAGCGGGGAGGAAGGCGAUAAGGUUAAUAACCUUGUCGAUUGACGUUACCCGCAGAAGAAGCACCGGCUAACUCCGUGCCAGCAGCCGCGGUAAUACGGAGGGUGCAAGCGUUAAUCGGAAUUACUGGGCGUAAAGCGCACGCAGGCGGUCUGUCAAGUCGGAUGUGAAAUCCCCGGGCUCAACCUGGGAACUGCAUUCGAAACUGGCAGGCUAGAGUCUUGUAGAGGGGGGUAGAAUUCCAGGUGUAGCGGUGAAAUGCGUAGAGAUCUGGAGGAAUACCGGUGGCGAAGGCGGCCCCCUGGACAAAGACUGACGCUCAGGUGCGAAAGCGUGGGGAGCAAACAGGAUUAGAAACCCUUGUAGUCCCA